AUGGAUUAUUUCCCAGCAAAUAAAGCUGCCACUUUAAGUAUACGUGUCUGUGUAUGAGUCCUGCAUUUGGGUCCUUCAUCCUGCCUGUCACACAGCCACACAUUACAACUUUUACCUCAUGUUAUUUGUUUCACAGCAAAAUCUUCCAUAUGCAAGCACCACACCUCAAAUCAACCCCAGCACUAUUAUCUGUUUAACUGAAAAUGACAUAACAAAGGAAUUGCCCACACCUGCCCAUGAAAUAGGCUUUGAUUCAAUUGUCCAAAUACUUUUGGUCCGUUUCAGAAGUGGGUGGCACAUGUUAAGGAGCUGAAACUCCGAAACCCUUCAUCCAGUUUGAAUGAAAUUGUCAUCUUAUAUCCCCUUGAGACCUCCAGUAAAUCUCCAGAACCACAAACUUCACUUGGUUCUUUUCAGGAACACCGUCUGAACCUCGUCAUGCUGAACCUAUUCUACUUCUCAUUUGAUUUGUGUUUUGGGUGGGGAAAAUUGUUUCUUUACUGAUCUUUUCCUGCCUUAUGUCACUAGACAUGAUAUGACUGCGCUAUGCUGUUGCUGCUGACUCCAGUAAAUUCUACAAGACAUGCUGUUGUAGAAUGAUGGACACCAGACUGUUUGGAUAUGACCUUAUAACCCUUCCAAGAUGCCUUUCCGGUCUUACAACAAAUAAAGGUUUGUUGCUCACUAAAAUGACCUGCGAUGGAUAUCUUUACUGCCGAGUAUUAGAAACAAAGGACAAGCUGAUGUGCAAAUUCUUUUUAUGAUUUGGACAAUAAUAGAACCAGAAGGACACUUAAAGAC